UACGGGGGGGGCAAGCGUUGUUCGGAAUUACUGGGCGUAAAGCGCACGUAGGCGGAUUUGUAAGUCAGGGGUGAAAUCCCGGGGCUCAACCUCGGAACUGCCUUUGAUACUGCAAAUCUCGAGUCCGGAAGAGGUGAGUGGAAUUCCUAGUGUAGAGGUGAAAUUCGUAGAUAUUAGGAAGAACACCAGUGGCGAAGGCGGCUCACUGGUCCGGUACUGACGCUGAGGUGCGAAAGCGUGGGGAGCGAACCGG
rnacentral:rRNA from 1 species